rnacentral:tRNA from 1 species
AAAAUUUAGUUAAAAAAUAACAUUAGCUCGUCAGGCUAAAAUUAUUACUAAAGUAGUAAUUUUUA